UCACCAGAACUGCAAUAAAAAUGAUUGUGUGUAAGUAACUGUAUUCAUAAUUCUAUAUUAUUACUAUAAGUAUCAGAUAGUUAAGGUUUUUGAAAUGUGUCAAGUUUUUUAAAAAAAAUUACUUUUAAUUUGGCACAUGCAAAUAAAUCUCAGGGUAGAGGACAAUGUUUCUUACUGCUGAUAUUUUUCAUCUUUGUAAAAUGGGAGAUCGUUAAUUGUGAGUGUUUAUGUAAGUUUGAUUGGCUGUUUGUUUUUAUUCCACUGAGAAUCUCACAUCCAUCCACACUAAACCAAUCUGUGCAUGGGUUUAUAUAUCUACAUUGUCCUCGGGCAAAGACAAUCUUCAAAUGAUAGAUUAUUAAUUGUGUAUCUACAUUGUGUCUGUGGUUUGUGUGUGUCAGUAGAGUAACCACACCGUGCUUUCUCACGUUCUGUUUACAGCUGUGAUGAGUUUCGGACAACCCAUUCACUGACAUUCAACCUCUACAGCCCAGAAAGGAGAGAGAUACAAAGAGAGAGAGAGCACUUCAAUCUUACUGCGAGUGUUAAUGGGGAGGAGUAGCCGAUUCUACAGCCAUGAGCUAAACACACCAACUCAGCGCUCAACUCUAAGACAUGAGCCAGUGGAAGAUAACCGAUGGUCUGACUGGUUAUCAAGGAAACACUCAUAAAUACAUGAUAUCCCUUAUGUACACACAGCAGUAAAGAUCACGGGAUGUGUGCGUGUGUGUGUUCGUACCCGAGGUUGGGAAUCCUCUCUGACAUCCCAGUGAUUCCCGCAAUAAUGUUACUGUGGGAUAUCAUGACUCCUUUCGGAAUUCCAGUGGAUCCGCUUGUGUACAUUAUCACGGCAACAUCAGAUGCACACGGGGCUCGUCUCUGCUUUGACGCUGCAGAAAGAGCAAAAGUGACGGAGAAACAUUUAUUAAAAACUUUUUGGAAUGUAAUGAGCAUUGUUUAGUAAUCAUUUCUUGGUGAUGACAACCAAAAGCUAAACGUAAGUUCCGAUAUCUGAUUAUACAGUGCCUAAGAAGAGACUUUCCUGGGAAAGAGUCUUAUUAUUACUGUAGUUGAACCAGUAUUAUAUGAAACACUUGACAUUUAAACUGUAAUAA